AUACGGAGGAUCCGAGCGUUAUCCGGAUUUAUUGGGUUUAAAGGGUGCGCAGGCGGCCAUUUAAGUCAGCGGUUAAAUCGUGGGGCUCAACCCCAUUCUGCCGUUGAUACUGGGUGGCUUGAUUGCGGUCGAGGUUGGCGGAAUUCGUUGUGUAGCGGUGAAAUGCAUAGAUAUGGCGAAGAACACCGAUUGCGUAGGCAGCUGACCAGACCGCAAAUGACGCUCAUGCACGAAAGUGCGGGGAUCGAACAGGAUUAGAUACCCUGGUAGUCCGCACAGUAAACGAUGAAUACUUGUUUUCGGCGAUAUAAUGUCGGAGGCAAAGCGAAAGCGAUAAGUAUUCCACCUGGGGAGUACGCCGGCAACGGUGAAACUUAAAGGAAUUGACGGGG
rnacentral:rRNA from 1 species